UGCCAUGUAGCUCAGUUGGUAGAGCAGCUGACUGUUAAUCAGCGGGUCACAGGUUCGAGCCCUGUCAUGGCAGCCA
rnacentral:tRNA from 2 species